rnacentral:rRNA from 1 species
CCUACGGGAGGCAGCAGUAGGGAAUAUUGCUCAAUGGGGGAAACCCUGAAGCAGCAACGCCGCGUGGAGGAUGAAGGUUUUCGGAUUGUAAACUCCUUUUGUUAGAGAAGAUAAUGACGGUAUCUAACGAAUAAGCACCGGCUAACUCCGUGCCAGCAGCCGCGGUAAUACGGAGGGUGCAAGCGUUACUCGGAAUCACUGGGCGUAAAGAGCGCGCAGGCGGGAUAGUAAGUCAGAUGUGAAAUCCUAUGGCUUAACCAUAGAACUGCAUUUGAAACUGUGAUUCUAGAGUAUGGGAGAGGUAGGUGGAAUUCUUGGUGUAGGGGUAAAAUCCGUAGAGAUCAAGAGGAAUACUCAUUGCGAAGGCGACCUACUAGAACAUUACUGACGCUGAUGCGCGAAAGCGUGGGGAGCAAACAGGAUUAGAUACCCCUGUAGUC